UACGUAGGCAGCGAGCGUUGUUCGGAGUUACUGGGCGUAAAGGGUGUGUAGGCGGUUAUUUAAGUUUGGUGUGAAAUCUCCCGGCUCAACCGGGAGGGUGCGCCGAAUACUGAAUGACUUGGAGUGCGGGAGAGGUGAGUGGAAUUCCUGGUGUAGCGGUGAAAUGCGUAGAGAUGCGGAGGAACACCGAUGGCGAAGGCAGCCCCCUGGGCUAGCACUGACGCUCAGGCACGAAAGCGUGGGGAGCAAACAGG
rnacentral:rRNA from 1 species